GACGAACGCUGGCGGCGUGCUUAACACAUGCAAGUCGAACGGUAAGGCCCUUCGGGGUACACGAGUGGCGAACGGGUGAGUAACACGUGGGUGAUCUGCCCUGCACUUCGGGAUAAGCCUGGGAAACUGGGUCUAAUACCGGAUAGGACUCCGGACUGCAUGGUCUGGGGUGGAAAGCUUUUGCGGGGUGGGAUGGGCCCGCGGCCUAUCAGCUUGUUGGUGGGGUGAUGGCCUACCAAGGCGACGACGGGUAGCCGGCCUGAGAGGGUGACCGGCCACACUGGGACUGAGAUACGGCCCAGACUCCUACGGGAGGCAGCAGUGGGGAAUAUUGCACAAUGGCGCAAGCCUGAUGCAGCGACGCCGCGUGAGGGAUGACGGCCUUCGGGUUGUAAACCUCUUUCAGCAUCGACGAAGCGAAAGUGACGGUAGGUGCAGAAGAAGGACCGGCCAACUACGUGCCAGCCGCCGCGGUAA
rnacentral:rRNA from 1 species